ACGUAGGUGGCAAGCGUUGUCCGGAAUUAUUGGGCGUAAAGCGCGCGCAGGCGGUCUCUUAAGUCUGAUGUGAAAGCCCACGGCUCAACCGUGGAGGGUCAUUGGAAACUGGGGGACUUGAGUACUGGAGAGGAGAGUGGAAUUCCAUGUGUAGCGGUGAAAUGCGUAGAUAUAUGGAGGAACACCAGUGGCGAAGGCGGCUCUCUGGCCAGUAACUGACGCUGAGGCGCGAAAGCGUGGGGAGCAAACAGGA
rnacentral:rRNA from 1 species